rnacentral:tRNA from 1 species
CUGGAUCACCUCCUUAAAGGGAGACCUAAUUCAGGUAUGGGACGAAAAAAAAGUAGUCCCUACCAAGAAUCAAUCCCAAAAGGUCGGAGCGAGGCAAAAUUGGCUUUCAAACUAGGUUCUGGGUUCAUAAAAGACCUGAAUCAGGAACAAGGGCUAUUAGCUCAGGUGGUUAGAGCGCACCCCUGAUAAGGGUGAGGUCCCUGGUUCGAGUCCAGGAUGGCCCACCUGCACAGGUGGCAAAAACAAAGAAGCGAGGAAUCAGCACCUUAUCUUACUUAUAUAGUAAGAGAGAAUGCUGGCUCUGAGUAAAGAGUCCAGAGGAACCUUGAAAACUGCAUAGAGCUAGGUGAAAAAGCCAAAAAAGAAGACCGCAAGGUCAAGCUAAUAAGGGCA